UCCCUGGUGGUCCAGUGGUAAGACUCCACGCUCCCAAUGCAGUGGGUCCAGGUUCAAUCCCUGGUCAGGGAA